ACAUGGGCAACUCUUGGGAUCACUAGGCAUUCAUGAGAGCCCAUUACUAUGUGAUAGUGGGUAAGUUAAUGUGUGCCUUAAUGUGUGAGUUAGUAUAGGCUAGAUUCAAUAUAUUUAGGAGCCUAUAAGUAAGAGGUGGCUAAGGCCAAAGGAGAGAGAGAGGAAGAAAGGUAGUGACACAAGAGGAGUUAUGUAUUGUAGUCCUAUUUUUCUAAGUAGUGGAGUGUUUAGUUUUUUAGGAACCUUUAGCUUUCUCAUCUCUCCUUUUUGCAUACUUAGUCGUAGGGUGUGGAGAUCCAGGCUAGUAAUAAGAAACUAGACUUAUUCAUUUUCGAGCAGGAAAGCGGGCGCCGCACGAGAUUUGUGAACAAAAACGCUAAGGUUGUGACAGUAUGGACACCCUAGAUGAGUGCUUUUUUUUUGUGUUGGGGAGGGGGGGCGUUUGGGAAUUAUUCACGAAUAAUAAAAAAAUACGAGUUAUUUUAAAUUUUUUUUAAAGAAAUAUGUAUACGAACUAUUUUAUUCGUUGUUCAAAAAUUCAUGAAUUAUUCACGAAUUAACUAACAAAGAAUUA
rnacentral:lncRNA from 1 species